rnacentral:rRNA from 1 species
AUGGCAUACGAAAUCCAGCUACUAUUUUCCCACAUAUACCUGGCACUGAUAGCUAUCCUGUUGCUUCCCAUGGUGUCUGGUGACUGGAGUGGCUCUGACCAGCUCCGCCUAGGAUGUGGCGCCACCAGCAGUGCCACUGAUUCUGAUGAUCGAACAUGGGAUGGCGACGCUAACUUCAGGAAGGUACCUCUUCCUGGCUUUUCAGCUAAUGCGUCAUACCUAGACCCCUCGCUUCCUUCCGCAGUACCUUACAUGAAUGCUCGCAUCCUCAGUUCGAAUUUCACAUAUUUUCUGGCAUGGCUUUUUCCAAAGAUAGCAGUGUCACAAUCAGUUACCCGCUUAGUAUGUCGGAGUGCAUAG